AAAGCGGGCCGGAUCAUCGCUGCGCGCGGGCCGCAAGGCAUCCGCGCGGGGAGGAAAGUCCGGGCUCCGCAGGGCACGGCGCCGGGUAACGCCCGGGUGGAGCGAUCCACGGCAAGUGCAACAGAGAGCAGACCGCCCCGCAUCACGCGAGGUAAGGGUGAAAGGGUGGGGUAAGAGCCCACCGGCUGUCGCGGUAACGCGGCAGGCCGGGUAAACCCCGCCGGGAGCAAGACCGAAUAGGGAAGCGUUUGAGGCCGGCCCGGCCGAUGCUUCCGGGUAGGUCGCUUGAGGCCGCGGGCGACCGCGGUCCCAGAGGAAUGAUGAUCGUCCGGCGUCCCUCCGCAUGCGGAAGGACGCGGAAAACAGAACCCGGCUUACAGGCCCGCUUUCGCU
rnacentral:RNase_P_RNA from 1 species